rnacentral:rRNA from 1 species
GUCCUUUAGAUAUUAAUUUAAGGUCUAACCUGCCCACUGAAUUAUUUUUAAAUGGCCGCAGUAAUUUGACUGUGCAAAGGUAGCAUAAUCAUUAGUUUUUUAAUUAAAAGCUUGUAUGAAAGGUUGGACGAAGUAAAAUCUGUCUCUAAUUAAAUUAAUUUAGAAUUUAACUUUUAAGUUAAAAGGCUUAAAUUUAACUAAAAGACGAGAAGACCCUAUAGAUCUUUAUAUUUUAAUUAUUAGAUUUAAUUAUGAAUUUUUUAAAUUUUAUUAGUUAAAGUAUUUUAUUGGGGUAAUAUAAAGAUUAAAAUAAUUCUUUUUUUUUAUUUACAUUAAUUUAUGAGUUUUAUGAUCCAAUUUUAUUGAUUAAAAGAUUAAGUUACCUUAGGGAUAACAGCGUAAUUUUUUUAGAGAGUUCUUAUCGAUAAAAAAGUUUGCGACCUCGAUGUUGGAUUAAAGAUUAUUUUAGGUGCAGAAGUUUAAAAAUUUUGGUCUGUUCGACCAUUAAAUCUUUACAUGAUCUGAGUUCAGACCGGUGUAAGCCAGGUCGGUUUCUAUCUUUAGUAAAUUAAAAUAUUUUAGUACGAAAGGACCAAUUAUUUAAUAUAUUAAUAUUUAUAAUUUUUGUUUAUUAUUAAA